rnacentral:rRNA from 1 species
AUUGAACGCUGGCGGCAGGCCUAACACAUGCAAGUCGAGCGAGCGGCGGACGGGUGAGUAAUGUAUGGGGACUGCCCGAUAGCGGGGGAUAACUACUGGAAACGGUGGCUAAUAACGCAUACUAUCGGAUAACCCAUAUGGGAUUAGCUAGUAGGUGGGGUAAAGGCUCACCUAGGCGACGAUCUCUAGCUGGUCUGAGAGGAUGAUCAGCCAAACGGGGACGUGGACACGGCCCAGAGUCCUACGGAGUCAGCAGUGGGGAAUAUUGCAAAAUGGGCGAAAGCCUGAUGCAGCCAUGCCGCGUGGAUGAAGAAGGCCUUAGGGUUGUAAAGUACUUUCAGCGGGGAGGCGUUACCCGCAGAAGAAGCACCGGCUAACUCCGUGCCAGCAGCCGCGGUAAUUC